rnacentral:rRNA from 1 species
UGCUUACACAUGCAAGUCGAACGGUGAAGCCCAGCUUGCUGGGUGGAUCAGUGGCGAACGGGUGAGUAACACGUGAGCAACCUGCCCCUGACUCUGGGAUAAGCGCUGGAAACGGCGUCUAAUACUGGAUACGAGUAGCGACCGCAUGGUCAGUUACUGGAAAGAUUUAUUGGUUGGGGAUGGGCUCGCGGCCUAUCAGCUUGUUGGUGAGGUAAUGGCUCACCAAGGCGUCGACGGGUAGCCGGCCUGAGAGGGUGACCGGCCACACUGGGACUGAGACACGGCCCAGACUCCUACGGGAGGCAGCAGUGGGGAAUAUUGCACAAUGGGCGCAAGCCUGAUGCAGCAACGCCGCGUGAGGGAUGACGGCCUUCGGGUUGUAAACCUCUUUUAGCAGGGAAGAAGCGAAAGUGACGGUACCUGCAGAAAAAGCGCCGGCUAACUACGUGCCAGCAGCCGCGGUAAUACGUAGGGCGCAAGCGUUAUCCGGAAUUAUUGGGCGUAAAGAGCUCGUAGGCGGUUUGUCGCGUCUGCUGUGAAAUCCGGAGGCUCAA